AUAAAUUCUUUCAAAGAAUCAGCUUUUAGUUUCCUUGAUCAGUUCUAAUGUUUUUUUCCUAUAUUAUUUCUGCUCUAAUCUUUAUUAUUUCCAUCUUGCUGGCUAUAGACUUUAUUUGCUGAUCCUUUUCUAGCUUCUUUAAGUAUAAGGUUAGGUUGUAUAUUUGAGACUUUUCUUGUUUCUUGAAGUAGGCCUGAUUUACAAUAUACUUCCCUUUUAGAAUUGCCUUUGCUGUAUCCCAAAUGUUUUGGACUGUCAUAUUUUCAUUUUCAUUUGCUUCCAUGUAUUUUUUAUAUCUUCUUUGAUUUCCUGGCUAACUCAUUCAUUUGCUAGUAGCAUGUUGUUUAAGCUCCAGGUAUUUGUGGUCUCUCCAAGUUAUUUCUUGUGGUUGACUUCAAGUUUCAUAGUAUGCUGGUCUAAAAACAUGCAUGGUAUGAUCUCAGUCUUUUUGUAUUUGUUGAGGCCUGAUUUGUGACCCAGUAUAUUCUGGAGAAUGUCCCAUGUGCACUUGAAAAGAAUGUGUAUUCUGCUGCUUUAGGAUGAAAUGUUCUGAAUAUAUCUAUUAAGUUCAUCUGGUCUAGUAUGUCUUUCAAAGCCAUUGUUUCCUUACUGAUAUUCUGCUUAGAUGAUUUGCCCAUUUAUGUAAGUGGGGUGUUAAAGUCUCCUACUAUUAUUGUAUUAUUAUCAAAGAGUUUCCUCAAGUUUGUUAUUAAUUGAUUUAUAUAUUUGGCUGCUCCCAAGUUAGGGGCAUAAAUACUUACAAUUGUUAGAUUUUCUUAAGGGAUAGAUCCCGUAAUUAUGAUAUAGUUCCCUUCUUCUUCUCUUGUUACAGUGUUUGGUUUGAAAUCUAGUUUGUCUGAUCUAAGUAUGUCUGAUCCUGUUUUCUUCUGAUACUCAUUAGCAUGAUAGAUGGUUCUCCAUCCCUUCACUUUCAGCCUCCAGGUAUCUUUAGGUCUAAAAUGAAUCUUUUGUGGGUAGUAAAUAGAUAGAUCCUGGGUUUUUUUUAACCCAUUCUGAUACUCUAUGUCUUUUGAUUGGAGCAUUUAGUCCAUUUAAAUUCAGAGUGAUUGUUGAAAGAUAUGAAUUUAAUGCCAUUGUGUUACCGGUAGAGUUGGUGUUUGGUAGUAUUCUCUAUUCCUUUCUAGUCUUUGUUGCUUUUGAUCUUUUUUUCCCCACUCAAAGAGUCCCCCUUAAUAUUUCUUGCAGGGCUGGUUAGAUAGUCAUGAACUCCUUUUGUUUUUGUUUGUCUGGGAAACUCUUUAUCUCUCCUAUUCUGAAUGACAGCUUUGCUGGAUAAAGUAUUCUUGGCUGCAUAUUUUUCCCACUUAGCACAUUGAAUAUACCCUGCCAUUCUCUCCAGGCCUGUCAAGCUUCUGUGGACAGAUCUACUGCAAACCUGCUGUCUUCCUUUGUAGGUUAAGGACUUUUUUCCUCUUGCUGCUUUCAGGGUCUUUCAUUGUCUCUGUAUUUGGAGGAUUUGACUAUGAUAUGCCUUGGAAAUGACCAGCUUUUGUUGAAUUUAAUGGAAGUUCUCUGUGCUUCUUCUAUUAUGAUGUCUGUGUCCUUCUCCAGAUUAAGGAAGUUUUCAGCUAUAAUUGGUUCAAAUAAAAUUUCUGCCCCUUUAUCUCUUCAUCUUCUGUGACUCCUAUGAUAUGAAUGUUACUAUGUCUUAAUAAGUCACUAAGUUCCUUAAGUCUACCUGUGUGGUCUUUUCUUUCCCUCUUCUUUUCAGCUUCAUCAUUUUCCAUAAUUUUAUCUUCUUUGUCACUGAUUCUUCCUCUGCUUCAUCCAUCCUCAUGUUAUGGCAAUAUUCGGGUUUGCAUCAUAAUUAUAGAAUUUUUAAUUUCAGCCUGACUGGAUUUUAGUUCUUUUAUCUCUGUAGUAAAGGAUUCUCUAGUGUCUUCUAUGCUUUAUUCAAGUCCAGCUUGUAUCCUUGUAAUUGUUAUUUUAAAUUCUAGUUCAGACAUCUUACUUAUAUCUGUAUUGAUUAAAUCCCCAGCCUUUAGUUCUACUUAUUGUUUUUUCUUUUGGGGCGAAUUCCUCCAUCUUGUCAUUUCAUCCAGAAAAAAAACAAAAAACAAAAAACUAGAUCCUGGGUGUAUUUUGUUCUGCUGUUAGAAAAAGUUAGAUAAAAUUUUUUUAAAUAAAAAAUAAAAAUAUAUGAAAAAUAUAUGUAAAUAAAAAUUAAAAAAAUAAUUAACAUUUUUUAAAAAAGUAAUUUAAAAAUAAUAAAAAUAAAAAAUAAAAAGGAAUCUGGAUUUUAUUUCUCCUAUAUCUGAAGCUCUGCAGCACUCUAUGAUCAGUAGACUCGGUGUGUGCAAGGUAUUUAUACUGGUCUUCUGGGGUAGGGGGCCUGUGGCACUGAUUCUCAGUACUGGCGAUAAGGGAGAUGUUCCUACAAUGUGCAGAUGGGCGGGGCUUGGUGUAAGCGGCUCUGGCCACCACUAGGUGGCCCUGUUUUGCACCCUGAAGGCUUACAAAAUGAUGGGCUGGGUGAAAAUGGUGGCAUCCUGCUUUCUAACCCAGAGUUGAGAGUUCAUGCCCUCUACUCUUCAGGAAGCCCUCACCAAAGAGCAAACCAUCACCCCUCUUAUGCCCCUGGCUUCGUCAGAUCCAUGCCUUCACCUUGCUUGUGUCCAAACUGUUUUAUUUCAGAUGCAUGGCUGGGUUUCAAAACUCCAAAUUUUAGGGACCCCUGCAAUGCAGAUCUGUGCUGAUCCUCUGGGGGCAGGGUCUAGCUGCACUUUUGCUGUUUACCACCUGUGCCAGGAAAGCAGUCCCAUGAUCACACAGCAGUUCAGAGUUUAUGACAAGGCAGACAGCGGGUAUCCAGGCUUGCUGCCCUCACCUAGAGUCCCUGCUCCUAUGCUUGGGAACAGUGCAGCAUGUGGGCAGCACCCAUUCUUCCUGCAACCCAGGGAAUCCUCUGAUCAUGCUGUCUGCUCCCAGGUCUCUGCCCUCCUUCCCCACUGAAGCACCUUUAAGCCAGGCAUGACCCUGGUGGUGGCAGACUUCUAAGACUUCAGAUUUUGCACUUCCCCACUUAUAAUACCUUGUGGUAGUCUCCAUAAGCAGAGCUCCCUCUCCUCCAAAGCACCUAUAGUUCUUAUCUUCCCCCAAACAACUCCACACAUCGUACUUCCAGAAGGUGGUCACUUUUCAACUUGUAGACUUGCAGUUUUGUUCUCUUAGUCCUCAGAUUGAUUUCUUGGGUGGUUCAGCAUGAUUUUGAUAAUUAUCUAGCUGUGUUUGAGGGACAAGGCAAGCUUAGGGCCCCCCUACUCCUCUGCCAUCUUAAUUGCUUCGAAGUGAUAUCUCAUUGUAGUUUUAAUUUGUAUCACCAUGAUGGUUAGUAAUAUAGAGCAUUUUUCCAUGUUCUUUUGGCCAUUUGUAUAUCUUCAUUGGCAAAAUAUCUAUUUAGAUUAUUCACUCAUUUUUAGAUUGAGUUACUUGUCUCUUAUUAUUAAGUUGGAAGAGCUUUCUUUAAAUAUAUCUUAAAUAAGUUUUUUUAAUUAGAUAUAUGAUUUACAAAAUUUUUCUCCUUUCCUGCUGGUUGCCUUUUCAUUUUCUUAAUGGUGCCCUUUAAAGCACAAAUGAUUUUAAUUUUGAUGAUGUCUAAUUGAUCUAUGUUUUUCCUUUGUUGCUUGUUUUUGAUAUUAUACCUUGCCUAAACCAAGAUCUCAAAUAUUAAUACCUGCUUUCUUCUAAGAAUGUUGUAGUUUCAGCUCUUACAGUUAAGUCUUUGAUCCAUUUUGAGUUACUUUUUUAUAUAUGAUGUACAGCAGAGAUCUAACUUCAUUAUUUUGCAUGUAGAUAUCCAGUUGUCUCAGCAUGAUUUGUUGAAAAGGCUAUUGCUUUCCCUACUGAGUUGUCUUGACACCCUUGUAAAAAAUCAUUUUACUGUAAAUGUAAGCGUUUCUUAACUCUAAAUUCUAUUCCAUUGAUGUAUCAGUCUAUUCUUAUGCCAGUACUAUGCUUUGUUGGUUAUUGUUGCUGUAUGGUUAAAUUUGAAAUUGGGUAAUGUGAGUUAUCCAACUUUGCUCUUCCUUUUCAAGAUUGUUUUGACUAUUUUGGGUCCUUCUCAUUUCCCCAUGAAUUUUAGAAUGAGUUUCUUAAAUUCUGCAAAGAAGUUGGCUGGGAUUUUGAUAGGGAUUGUACUCAAUCUGUGGAUCAAUUUGGGCUGUAUUGUCAUCUUAACAAUAUUGAGUCUUCUAAUUCAUGAGCAUGAAAUGUCUUUCCAUUUACUUAGAUCUUUAAUUUGGUAGUCCUCAGAGUAGAUGUUUUGUACUCUUUUGUUAAAUAUUUUGUACUUCUCAGAGUAUAUGUUUUGUCUCUUUUGUUAAAUUUAUUACUAAUUAUUUUAUUCUUUUUGAUGUUAUUAUAAAUUUAACUGUUUUCUUUUGAAGCUUGGUGUUUAACUGAAAGCUUAAUAAAAGGCUAUUUCUUUGAACAUCAGGUUGAAACUUUAUAGGUCAAAAAUUACUACAAACAAAAGAAUAAUCUCAGUUCUAGCUUACCCAUUAUAAAGGGAUGCUUAGGCAGAGCAAUGUGCUGUCACAUUUAAGACAUGGCACACUAUCUCACUUGUUAAGAGUAGCCCUAUCAAUUACUCUGUUUGCAAGGAAGCUUCUCUUAAUAGUUUUUUUUUAAAGUAAACUCUACCCCAAAUGUGGGGCUCGAACUCAUGACCCUGAGAUCAAGAGUCACAUGCUCUACCAACUGAGCCAGCCAAGCACCCCAAGGCAACUUCUCUUCAGACUUAGGGAGUAUAUGAGGUUUGUAUUUAGCUCCUUAAGUCCUCUUUAUUUUUUUUAAAGAUUUUAUGUAUUCAUGAGAGACACUGAGAGAGAGAGAGAGAGAGAGAGAGAGAGAAAGGCAGAGACACAGGCAGAGGGAGAAGCAGGCUCCACACAGGGAGCCCACUGGGGGACUCAAUCCCAGGACCCUGGGAUCACACCCUGAGCCAAAGGCAGAUGCUCAACCACUGAGCCACCCAGGCAUCCCUGAAGGAGACUUUUUUUUUUUUGAGUUUGAUUUGCCAACAUAUAGUAUAACACCCAGUGCUCAUCCCAUCAAGUGCUC
rnacentral:lncRNA from 1 species